CGGGUUGUAAAGCACUUUUGUCCGGAAAGAAAUCGCGCUGGCUAAUACCUGGCGUGGAUGACGGUACCGGAAGAAUAAGCACCGGCUAACUACGUGCCAGCAGCCGCGGUAAUACGUAGGGUGCGAGCGUUAAUCGGAAUUACUGGGCGUAAAGCGUGCGCAGGCGGUUUUGUAAGACAGGCGUGAAAUCCCCGGGCUCAACCUGGGAAUUGCGCUUGUGACUGCAAGGCUAGAGUGCGUCAGAGGGGGGUAGAAUUCCACGUGUAGCAGUGAAAUGCGUAGAGAUGUGGAGGAAUACCGAUGGCGAAGGCAGCCCCCUGGGACGAGACUGACGCUCAUGCACGAAAGCGUGGGGAGCAAACAGGAUUAGAUACCCUGGUAGUCCACGCCCUAAACGAUGUCGACUUGGAGGUUGUGCCCUUGAGGCGUGGCUUCCGGAGCUAACGCGUUAAGUCGACCGCCUGGGGAGUACGGCCGCAAGGUUAAAACUCAAAUGAAUUGACGGGGGCCCGCACAAGCGGUGGAGCAUGUGGUUUAAUUCGAUGCAACGCGAAGAACCUUACCUGGUCUUGACAUCCACGGAAGUUUUCAGAGAUGAGAAUGUGCCUUCGGGAACCGUGAGACAGGUGCUGCAUGGCUGUCGUCAGCUCGUGUUGUGAAAUGUUGGGUUAAGUCCCGCAACGAGCGCAACCCUUAUCCUUUGUUGCCAGCGGUCCGGCCGGGAACUCAAAGGAGACUGCCAGUGAUAAACUGGAGGAAGGUGGGAUGACGUCAAGUCAUCAUGGCCCUUACGACCAGGGCUACACACGUGCUACAAUGGCGCAUACAAAGAGAAGCGACCUCGUGAGAGCAAGCGGACCUCAUAAAGUGCGUCGUAGUCCGGAUUGGAGUCUGCAACU
rnacentral:rRNA from 1 species